GAGGCCUUCUCACCACAUACCCCUGGCCCGCAGGACAUAGGAAGUGAUCAAGAAGUUCCAAGUUCCUGCCCAAUCCUUUCUAUCAGCAAUAAACAUGGCCCUUGGGGUGGUCUCGUUAGAGAAGAGUAGAUGAUGGAUUCCUCAGCCCAUUUCAGAAGCCUUCAGCCACCCAGCAAUUCCAAUGAGGGAGCAGCUCAACACAACUCCACAGAGUAUCGGAGGUACUUUUAUGCACUGUUGGCGAGAAUAUAAAUUUUGCUGCAACCUUUUUUCUAUAAAGACUCUUCACUCCAAAAGCAGCCUGGUUGGCCGAGACAUCCAGACAGGUGACGGGCUGCCCGUAGACGUGGUGGAGGGUUCUGGCAGAGUCGUCAGCCUUCAGCAGGAAAGAUCACAUCGUCUGCUGAGACACUGGCCUGGAAGUAAAGGGGACAACCACACGAUGGGUCCCACUACGGUUGGUGGGAUGUAAUCUGGUCCAAUGUCUAUAGAGGGAAAUCGGCAGCACUUUCCACAAUGUCAAGUGCACUUACGCUCUGACCCAGCAAGUUUCU